rfam:[Clostridium] celerecrescens strain 152B c29, whole genome shotgun sequence.
CCCUUAUUCAGAGUGAUGGAGAUACAAAGGAUCUGUGAAGUCACGGCAACCCCGACCGAAAAUGAUGGCCUUGGCCAGAAAUGAGCGGCUGGAAGGUGCCAACCUGAGCGAGAAAUCGAGCAAUAAGAG